UAGGGAAUCUUCCACAAUGGGCGAGAGCCUGAUGGAGCAACGCCGCGUGUGUGAUGAAGGCUUUAGGGUCGUAAAGCACUGUUGUAUGGGAAGAAAUGCUAGAAUAGGGAAUGAUUCUAGUUCGACGGUACCAUACCAGAAAGGGACGGCUAAAUACGUGCCAGCAGCCGCGGUAAUACGUAUGUCCCGAGCGUUAUCCGGAUUUAUUGGGCGUAAAGCGAGCGCAGACGGUUGAUUAAGUCUGAUGUGAAAGCCCGGAGCUCAACUCCGGAAUGGCAUUGGAAACUGGUUAACUUGAGUGUUGUAGAGGUAAGUGGAACUCCAUGUGUAGCGGUGGAAUGCGUAGAUAUAUGGAAGAACACCAGUGGCGAAGGCGGCUUACUGGACAACAACUGACGUUGAGGCUCGAAAGUGUGGGUAGCAAACAGGAUUAGAUACCCUGGUAGUCCACACCGUAAACGAUGAAUACUAGGUGUUAGGAGGUUUCCGCCUCUUAGUGCCGAAGCUAACGCAUUAAGUAUUCCGCCUGGGGAGUACGACCGCAAGGUUG
rnacentral:rRNA from 1 species